GACGAACGCUGGCGGCGUGCUUAACACAUGCCAGUCGAACGGAAAGGCCCUGCUUGCAGGGUACUCGAGUGGCGAACGGGUGAGUAACACGUGGGUGAUCUGCCCUGCACUUCGGGAUAAGCCUGGGAAACUGGGUCUAAUACCGGAUAGGAGCCAUUUUUAGUGUGAUGGUUGGAAAGUUUUUUCGGUGUAGGAUGAGCUCGCGGCCUAUCAGCUUGUUGGUGGGGUAAUGGCCUACCAAGGCGGCGACGGGUAGCCGGCCUGGGAGGGUGGACGGCCAAUUGGGAACGGGGAUCGGGCCCGACCCCCUCGGGAGGGCAGAGUUGGGGAAAAUUCAACAAGGGCGCAAGCCUGAUGCAGCGACGCCGCGUGGGGGAUGACGGCCUUCGGGUUGUAAACUCCUUUCGCUAGGGACGAAGCUUUUUGUGACGGUACCUAGAUAAGAAGCACCGGCGAACUACGU
rnacentral:rRNA from 1 species